CUUUCCAGCUGAGAUGGAUUAAGCUGCAGAACACCACACCUCUUUAAGGUUUUCAAUUGAGCAAGAAAAGGGAAUAUCUGGCAAGAUCCAAGUGGAUAAGCAGCCGUGUAGCUUUCAAGCAAGUGCAUUCCACAUAUGUCGCUGCCCCUGCUGCCGCCAGAGUGGGGAGAAGAGGACUCUUGAGCUAUGUCCUGCACACAGCUCUGGGCUGGAGUCAUAGUGAGGCUAGUCCUCAGGUGGGAAAUUUAGCCUGCAAAAGAAACAAAGGAUUUCAAAUUUCCUUUAGAGAAUUCCUACUUUUAAUGAGCAUGGAUAUGAUCCUCAUACAGAGAAAAAAAGUUUUGGCAACAUCAAAAUGAUGAUGUGAGGUUUCAGGAUGAUUCAGAUGAAUUGUUUGACUGAAAAAAAAAAGAAGGAAAAUUAGCAAAAAAAUUGAAAGCACAUGAGAUUCUUGCCUUUUGAGAUGAAAAUGAAAUGAUUCAUAAAAGUAUUUUCAGAGUUUGAAAGAGAAGAGACUCAGUAGUUGAAGUAAAUGAUACAAUUUUCAGAACUGUAAACAAAGAAGUUAUUUACAGAGCUCUGUGAAGAAUGCAUUAACACCUUUCUUUUAAGCUCCACGAUGCCAGUCAUUUGUCAAAAUCUGAUCAACAUGGUAUGGUGAGCACUCCUGACAUGACAUCACCAGGGGCAGUAAAAUCUGAUUAUUUAUAAGGGUGAUGGAGUGCUCUGGCAACCAGCUGCUGCAGCUUCAUGUCAAGUACAAGAGAAAUUGUUUGGAAAAGCUCCGAGAAAUACAUAGAGAAACUUCUGCUAGCAUGAACACCUGACAACAUUUAAAACACUUCCCCAAAAGACAAAUGGUUAAAGGAAAACUUCACUGUAGUCAUGUAAUAACAAAGCGGAGAUCUAAGAAGAAAAUGUCUGAAGUCAUCCAUAUAGGUGGAGAAAAUGAACUGCAUUCAAAUGGAAAUAUUGGGAGCAAGCAAUUUUCUAACAAGCAAGCUGGUUCUAGCUAAUGCAACCGCAGUCAGCUGAGCUCUCCUGAGGACAGAGGGGAAUGAGUCCCCUCAGUGAGGUGGGGCAAAACAAAAAAGUUCAAAUGGAGGUCAUAGCAACUUUUUGAUACCGCAGUGCAGGUUGCAGCCUGUGUUUGAGAAAAGCACAGCUCAGCAUGGGAAAAAGCGAUGCAAAGGCUGCCCUACACUGCUUUGAUCUUCAGCUGACCAAAUGAUCCCAUCUUGCCCUCCAGCAUAUGGAGCUCUCUGGGAUAUGAUCCCGCAGGCUUUCAUAUUGGCUUGGAGGUAAACUGAAAGCAGAUAGCGGUGUUAUCUAAGAGCUUUAAGGACACUUCCUGACUUCCCACAUGGCGUUACAUCCCUCUCUGCUUCAGUGGUGCUCUCCCCCUUGGCUCCAAGGACAUGAUAGCGACAAUGAGGAAAACAAGGACAUAUUAGAUGCCUGAUGAAAAUAUCAACAGUGCAGUAUGGGCGGAGGGGAGAGCAAAAUCUGUAGGAUGUUGUCCCCUUGUAAAGCUGCAGCAAAAACAAGAAGUUCAAAUGAAGGCUACAGAACAAUUUUUUCUCUUCAGGGGGGUAGCUUGGAGGUAGUGUAAGUGGCAAAAUCCUUUCACCUUAAAAUGAGGGUUUGAUUCCAGCCCAACAUGCACCAGGCUGAUGAGCCUGAAGGAGAGGAUGAAAUUUCCUCUAGCUCAUUGAUCCACUGAGAGUUUUACUUGCCAAGGAAUGAGAAACCCUAGUUAUUCUUUCAAAGGGAUCUGUACUAUUAUGCUGUUUUGAUAUGAAACAGGUUGUAAGUAUGCAAGCUAGCCAAACUUUACUACAGAAAUACUCUUGAUUUCUCUCAAAGGAGAUUAUUUUCCUAAAUGAGGCUCCUAUAAUCACUACAGUAUGAGCAGAAACAAUCAAAUUCUGCCCCUUACACAGCACAGAAUGACAUCGCAGUGGUAAAAUACUACAAUGCGAGCAAUUAUUUUUCAUCAUUACAUUGGCUGUAAUACUCUGUACAUUACAAUGAAUUUGCAGAAAAUAUAGUCGAAAAUUUAAGUUCAAAGAUUAACAUCAGAGUACCAUUUGUUUUGUCCCUGCAGUUUUUGAUUAAUGGAGAUUGUUAAUUCAUACUGCCUCUUGGUUGAUAGUGGAGAGGUUCAUUCAUUCCACUGUCUUGAAUUUAAAUUUAGACUGCUUAUAUGUGUUCAUAUUUUCAAUUUAUAUUAUUACAUCCACUUCUGCUCUAUUCUUUGUUCAUUAGGGACCUCUGAACACCAGCUUGAGGAAGUUCUGUUAAAUGAAUCGCAUGCCCUUUGCAAGAGCUCUUUGAAUGACAUGUGUAAUUAUCAACAAUUAACAAGAUGCUAAUUAUACCUUCAAAUUAUAAUCCUACUGAGCAAAAUAAAAAUCCUUUAUGGAAGAAAAAAUUGUUAAAGACACAACACUAUAUUAAACCAAAUGACAAAAAGUUUGGCAACUUCUAAUGGUAUAAAUCAAACAAACUGCUGAACACAUCACACAGCUUGCCAGAAUGGCUCUCUGCCAAUUAGCUCUUCAGUGCAUAUUCAGUAAGGUGGGGGGAGGGUAAUGUAGAAAAAUGAAGGAGGAAGGGAAUUUAACAGACAUGUUACUGCUCAAUCAAUAAAUUAAUUCUGAAAAGCUGUAACAGUUUAAACUUUGCAGAAUAUGUUGUUUUUCACUCACAACAAAAUCACGGAGAAGAAAGGUUUUUCUGAAAGGUUUUAAGCUACAGAAGCUUUAAUAAAUUCUACAUUUGCAAGACAAACCACAAGUAAAAGCCUCCCUGCCAAUGUAAUAUCUUGUAUCCAGUCUCAUAAAAACUAUUGUACAACUCUGAUUUUUUCAGCAAUUUGCACUGACAGUUUUAGACCUGUAUCUACACAUCAAAUGGAUAUCUUUGUGAAAUUAGAGUAACUAGAAUUAAAACUCUGCAUUUAUACACUGUCCUUUCUUACAAGUUAUAUUGACUACUGGUAUAAUUUAGCCUAAAUAUCUCAUUGUUUAGUGCAUCCAGAGCCAAUAAUUCCUCAAGAACGUGCUUCCUUCUGGUAUUAGACUAAAGUGUCACAAUACUAGAAUUUUGUUGGCAAGAAUAAUAAGGAAAAAUGGGUUCAAUCCAUUGAAAACCUGUAAAAAAUCAAAGUUUUCUUUAACAUGAGUGCUUCUACCAGAUAGUAAAAGAACUUCCAGAUACAACAUUUAAUUAAGACAUCUGUUGUUUUCUGCUAAUUGUAUGAUAAACGAUAUGAUGUAAUUCAAGAAAAAAAAGUUUAAAGAGAAUUCUGCUAAGGUGACAUUUACUAUGGUCUACACUGCAAGCAUGACUAUAUUUCUUGUAAUUUUGGGCAGUGAAUGCUAGAAAAAGAGGACAGCCUUCUACUUAUUCUUAGUUCUGCUUGGCAUAGUUUUAUAUAGGUUGCUGAUUUUUUUUUUCAAUAUUAUUUAUUUAUUUUUAUGUUUUUUUCUCUUUUGACAAAUUCCAAAAAGUUUAUAAACCUUAACUGGAGUGGUUUGCAAUCACUCACUGAUGUAUACUAGGUGUUC
rnacentral:lncRNA from 1 species